AUGGCAGAAUGCUUCAAUAAGGUGCUCAAGGGUGUACGUGCAUUACCCGUGACGGCAAUAGUUCAAUACACAUUUGACAAGAUGAAUGGAUACUUUUUGAAGUAUUCAAUGGAGACGGAUAAGCAGAUUGCUGGUGAGAACAAGGAUAAGCACAAGUACUAUUUCCCACCAAAGGUUGAAGAAUGGUUGGACUUUCAAUCAUGAAAGGCAGACUCCCAAGAAGCUGUACUAUAUGACGACAACGAGUGGAAGUAUGAGGUGAAAGAGCCUGGAGGAACCACAAAAGAUGGCCACCAACACGGAGGCCGCGCUUUCAAGGUCUCCCUAACACGGUGUGAUUGCAGUUGCAUGAGGCCAUCGUUGCUUCAUCUCCCAUGCUCGCACUUGUUAAAUGCAGCCCGUGUUAGGAAUGUGGACGUCAAUCACCCUCUUACCGUGAGGGAGUCCGAGUUCUCAAUCAUGAUGGUAAAGAAUACAUGGGCUCCCCGGUUUCAGCCAUACUUGGACCAAUCACAAUGGCCGGAGUAUCAUGGAGUUCAACUAUGGCCGGACCCGGAAUUGAAGGUCGUUAGACGGGGAAGACGUAAGACAAAGCGUCUUAGAGGUGACAUGGACGGAUGGGGCCGUGGUGGCGGUGGAGAAUACAGCACCGGCCAAUUCCAAGAGCCUCGUGAGCAAUCCCGUUGUGGGGACUGCAGUCAUGGGGGACACAAACACAAGAACUUGUCCCAAAUCAAGAAAAAGAUCAAAAAAAUGAUGCAAGCACAAGCCAAGCAAAUGAUAGCCAACCAAGUCAACCAAGGAGUAGCCAACCAAGUCAAACAAGCCAACGAGGCACUAGGCAACAAAGAGGCCGUGGUGGUGGUAGAGGCCGUGGUGAUGGCCUAG
rnacentral:rRNA from 1 species